AAUCAACGCUGGCGGCGUGCCUAACACAUGCAAGUCGAACGCGAAAAUGGAGCAAUCCAUGAGUAGAGUGGCAAACGGGUGAGUAACACGUGGGUGACCUGCCCGUUCGAGUGGGGGAUAACGUCCCGAAAGGGACGCUAAUACCGCAUAAUAUGCUGUCUUUUAAGAGAGAGACAUCAAAGCCGGGGACCGCAAGGCCUGGCGCUUGAAGAGGGGCCCGCGCCUGAUUAGCUAGUUGGUGGGGUAAUGGCUCACCAAGGCAACGAUCAGUAUCCGGCCUGAGAGGGCGGACGGACACACUGGGACUGAGACACGGCCCAGACUCCUACGGGAGGCAGCAGUGGGGAAUUGUUCGCAAUGGGCGCAAGCCUGACGACGCAACGCCGCGUGGAGGAUGAAGAUCUUCGGGUCGUAAACUCCUUUCGAUCGAGACGAAUGGCCCUUGGGAUAAUACCCUGAGGGAGUGACGGGUACCGAGAGAAGAAGCCCCGG
rnacentral:rRNA from 1 species